UCUAAAUGUUUUACAUAGUAACUCUAAAUGUUUCACAUAGUAACUCUAAAUGUUUCACAUAGUAACUCUAAAUGUUUUACAUAGUAACUCUAAAUGUUUCACAUAGUAACUCUAAAUGUUUCACAUAGUAACUCUAAAUGUUUUACAUAGUAACUCUAAAUGUUUCACAUAGUAACUCUAAAUGUUUCACAUAGUAACUCUAAAUGUUUUCAUAGUAACUCUAAAUGUUUUACAUUGUAACACUUAAUGUAUCUUAUUAUGUCAUUUUCAUUAUUAAUCUAAGAGCAUAAUGCAUAAUCUAUGGUUUUUAUACACUAUACGUGUGCACGUAUGCUGUGUGGUUCAAAUAUUUAGAAGUCAAAGAUAUGCAGCUCUAUAUAUCAGGAUAACAGGAGUGGAGGUAGAAGUAGCUUUAAGGUGUUUAAAUGUGUGGUUCUGUUAUCUAAUGCGAAGAAAAAUAACAAAUGUUUAAUGCAACACGUGCAGACUGACACGCCGCGCUCACGCCGUGCGCACGCGUUGCUGGCCGAGCCGAGGAGGAAGUGGCCCACGUCGGAGGAGAUAUGCCGGCAUAUGCUCUCUCUCUCUGUGGCCUUCCCGCCUCACCGGACAUCGUGGCAGAGAUCCGCUCAUCUGACACCAAAAUAAAAAAAGGCAUGCGCUCGCCGACGGGGCUCGAACGCGUUGCCGCACGUUUUAUUUUCCGCUCGGAGCUAUUUUCAGCAGUGCUCUUGUGACCGAGGCGGGGCCCGUCUCCGGGUAUCGACCGCCGGCCUCUCGGCUUACACCCUGACAUCCUCUGCCGGCUCUGACAUCACAGCGUGAAUCCCACCAAUCACACGUUGGUGUGAAGCACCGUGUUUGUUGUUGCCGUGUGGCCGAAGGUCUUGAUUUAGUUGUUGUGUUACCACUGAGUCCCUCAAUGGGCCCCCGGGAGCCCGACCCGUCAGGCCAUCCAGCGGCCCCGGUUGCCCUGACGGAUGAUGCUGUCAACGACCUCGACACCCAUUUCUCUCCGGCCGCCGCCGGCCAAGCGAAUAAGGAGGAAGACCAAGAUGAUCGAGAUGUACAAAAUGUGUGUAAAGUGACAAACUGUCUCAACGCCUGAAACAACUACUGCUGGAUGCAUUGUUCUCAUGUACCGGUGUUUGUCUCCAUCUUCUGGACGGGUGGAGUAAACGCGGCUUCGCUCACGUUCCGUCUCACAAUCGUCACUCAGUCAAAAACUGCUUAAAUAUCUAUAACUUUUUUUGUGAUCUAUGUUAUUUAUUAUAUUUUAUUUAUUCUUAAUAAUGAAAGCUCUUUACAUGUACAUGAACUUUACAUGUUCUUAAGAAAAAGAUGCAGCUUUUUAAACACGGUAAUAACAUUGUAAUAAAUGUAUUAUUAUCAUCUCUUAUGAACUGAAGAUACAUAAUAACUCAUAUUAAAGGCAUACAUUUAUAAAAAGAAAUGGGGAAGUUAUGUAUGCACAGAAGUGGGCAAAACAACCAUAUUAUGUAUUUGUAUAUUCAAUAAAUAUGUAUGUGUGUAUAUGAGAUAUGUACACACACGCUCUUAUGACAGAUGAGAUGAAUUAUCAUCUGAAUAUCUGAAUAAACUGAACAUAACUGUGUUAUCGGCUGGAUGUUCCAUUGGUUCGCCUCAUAAAUCUUCUUUGUUAAUUGUAUUUGUUAGUGAAAUUACGUGAGGUGAUUGUGCACAAAUGUCUGAGUUAUGAACCGAAGCAUCGCAACGCCAACGAGCUCCAUCCAGCUCCACAGAUCUACAGAUUUGACUCCUGAGAGGGUUCGAGGGUGAAAACUGAGAGCGGAAGAUGAUGAACGCGUCCAACGGCCUGGAGGCGACGAUCAGACCGCCGGACGUCACGGUGGUGAGAAUACAGCAUGAACAUGUACAUGUAUGUUUAAUAAACACCUCACAAAUAUCGUUCAACUUGUUAUUGAGGAUUUUUAAGCUUCAAGCAGCAGAAGUUUUGAAAUUCUCUUUUUACCAACAUCAUACAUGACCUGGUUCAUCAGAGGUCGGUUUCAAGAAGCAGGUUUAGUUUGUUCACCCUGAGAUGAGGGAAACUCUGGCUUGUUUCACAAAGGGAGGUAACUAAAGCUCAGGAUCAGUCACCAUGGUAACUAAAGCUCAGGAUCAGUCACCAUGGUAACUAAAGCUCAGGAUCAGUCACCAUGGUAACUAAAGCUCAGGGUCAGUCACCAUGGUAACUAAAGCUCAGGGUCAGUCACCAUGGUAACUAAAGCUCAGGAUCAGUCACCAUGGUAACUAAAGCUCAGGAUCAGUCACCAUGGUUACAGCCUGUGAACAUCACCUGGUCGGGAGCAGGUUGUCUUUCUCCUUCCACAGGCUCCUCCCUCUGACAGCAGCCCAGCCAAUCACACAGCGGCUUUAAUUUCCUCAUUCAUUCAGUUAUCAGGCAUAUUUCAGUGCAGUUUCCACAUAUGAAUAUUUAAAGUCUGUCAUUUCUGACACAAGGGGUUCACCUUAAAUUAGUCCUCUAAUGGAGGAGAGAAGUAAACAAUAAGAGGAGGAAAGGAGAAGAAUAAGAAAGGAGCAGCUAGAAGAGGAAGAGGAGGAAAAAGAGGAGUUCCACAGGAUAAUAAACCUGAAUAAAAUACAUUAUAGGUUCAAUACCAUUGUACCAGUUUUUACCAGCGAUAUUGUUCUUGUGAUUAAAUAUGAGCAUGUGUGUGUAUGUCAAGCUUGUGUGUAGUAAUAGUGCAAUUUUCCCAAGUGUUGCUUUUCUGUCUAAUUACAGGUUCAUACUCGUCGUACACUUGUAUUAAUAUUUGCAGCUCGAUAGGGGUGAAUAUAUUGUUUGUGGUGGUUGUCAUGGUAACUCGUAGUAUCGUGGCUCCAUUCAUGCUGCCUUCAUACUGUGAUGCUGCUCAACUCUUGAGUCAACAGCUGUUCUGAAACCAGAAACUCAGAGUUUCCAUCUCAGGAUAAAUCAACUCAGAGUUUAGAGUUUGACUCCGUUUUUUAAACCUCCUACUUGAAACGGACCCCUGGUCACGUAUGAUGUUUUUACCAACAUAUUUGGGGUAAAUUACAUUCGUAAAGCUGUAUACGGUUCAGUUUGACUUGUGAACAGAACCACAGAUUAGAACUUUCUUUGUGUUCUUCUCUUUAGUCUGUUGUCAUGUUGAGGAACUACACCACAUGGAUGUUUUUUUACUGUAUUAUUACUUUAAAUGAUUCUCAUCGGAUCUCCGGAUGCAGAGAAAAGAAGCUGCAUCCGUAGAAUCUGGAGUCGUUUGGACCAAAGUUCCGCCCACAUUAUUCCAUCACAUUUGUAAUAAAACAAUUAUAUUUCACAUUUCCCGACACCAAAGACUAGAAGUUUUCUCUAAUUUUCUCAGAUCUCUGUUAUCGGAAAGCAGUUGAGUGUUUGGAGGCACAAAAAAACAGAGAACCAUGAAUAAAAAAAAGUCAGCGUGUAGAAAGCUGAAAUUCUUUUAAAAAAUGUUCCUUAAUCCGACGAGGAGCCCGACUGAAUCCUCAAAGAGUCCAAGAGAAGGAAAGUCCUUAGAAAGUUGGAAUACAAAUCUCAAAAAGAAUAGAAAAUGUCAUUCAAAAAGGAAACAUUGUAAAAAGUUUAGUUUGUCAAAAGAAAUAUUUCAUUUACUAUCUGGACCGUGAGUCUGAAAUGAAGUUUGAUUAUUAAUAAUACAAUAUUUAUAGUCCUUUUAUGGCAUAUUGUAAAAUGUGAAAUCGUAUUUUGAUAAAUACUGUUCAUCCAUAUCUGAUGCUGAUUAAAGUCUCAGUAAUCUGUGAAUAAAUGAAACAGUAUGAGUAUGCCCAGUCGUAUUUCCUAAACGUAUUUACUGUAUUCUAUUAAGAGUAGAACAUUAUGGCGAAAGGGGUCAUGAGGUACGUUGAGGAAUUUAAAGAAAAAUACAAAGAAUGUUGAAAAAUGUGUUUCAUCUUGUAAAAACCUCAUUAAAAAGUCUCUGCUGGAGGAGAAAGUUGAGGGUCUGAGGGUCUGAUGCGUCUUCAAACCUGAAACGCAGUCUGUGAAAGUCGUAAGUCACUGUCUGCCCCCCCCCCCCAGCCCUGUGUCUAUAUAUCCUGAGUGCGACUUUGCUCCGGUGGGUAAACGCCAGCGACAG
ensembl:lncRNA